ensembl:misc_RNA 7SK 7SK RNA
GGAUGUGAGGGUGAUCUGGCUGCGACAUCUGUCACCCCAAUGAUCGCCAGGGUUGAUUCAGCUGAUCUGGCUGGCUAGGCGGGUGUCCCCUUCCUUCCUCACUGCUCCAAGUGCGUCCCUCCGGAAGCUGUGUGCGCUAAGAGGACGGCCUUCCCCGAACGAUCCCUCUUCGUUCAAGGGCAUAGGAGUAGCUGCUCUCCCCUGCUUGAACCUCCAAACAAGCUCUCAAGGUUCAUUUGUAGGAGAGCAUAGGGUAGUCAAACCUCCAAGACUCCAUACACAUCCAAAUGAGGCGCUGCAUGUGGCAGUCUGACUUUCUUU